rnacentral:rRNA from 1 species
GAUGAACGCUGGCGGCGUGCCUAAUACAUGCAAGUCGAGCGAACAGACGAGGAGCUUGCUCCUCUGACGUUAGCGGCGGACGGGUGAGUAACACGUGGAUAACCUACCUAUAAGACUGGGAUAACUUCAGGAAACCGGAGCUAAUACCGGAUAAUAUAUUGAACCGCAUGGUUCAAUAGUGAAAGACGGUUUUGCUGUCACUUAUAGAUGGAUCCGCGCCGCAUUAGCUAGUUGGUAAGGUAACGGCUUACCAAGGCAACGAUGCGUAGCCGACCUGAGAGGGUGAUCGGCCACACUGGAACUGAGACACGGUCCAGACUCCUACGGGAGGCAGCAGUAGGGAAUCUUCCGCAAUGGGCGAAAGCCUGACGGAGCAACGCCGCGUGAGUGAUGAAGGUCUUCGGAUCGUAAAACUCUGUUAUUAGGGAAGAACAAAUGUGUAAGUAACUAUGCACGCCUUGACGGUACCUAAUCAGAAAGCCACGGCUAACUACGUG